rnacentral:sRNA from 1 species
CUUGAGAAUCAAGAAGAAGCUUGGUUAGUGUUUUGGAGUCAAAUAUGAUUAG